rnacentral:rRNA from 1 species
UCCGGUGACGAUAGCAACGAGGACCCACCUGUUCCCAUACCGAACACAGAAGUUAAGCUCGUUUACGCCCGAUGUAGUUGCCUUUUAAGGCCGCAAGAUAAGGUAGUUGCCGGAU